rnacentral:ncRNA from 1 species
GCCUCCUCGCUUCCAUAGAAAGGGGACGGGGCAGAUCGCAAGUGCUACAACCGAGCGGUGGUAUCUGUCAAACUAAGCAGCCACUGCACAUCAAUUGACUAAGGAGA